rnacentral:rRNA from 1 species
UACGAAGGGGCUAGCGUUGCUCGGAAUCACUGGGCGUAAAGGGCGCGUAGGCGGGCUCUUAAGUCAGGGGUGAAAGCCCAAGGCUCAACCUUGGAAUUGCCUUUGAUACUGAGGGCCUUGAGACCGGAAGAGGUCGGCGGAACUGCGAGUGUAGAGGUGAAAUUCGUAGAUAUUCGCAAGAACACCAGUGGCGAAGGCGCCGACUGGUCCGGUUCUGACGCUGAGGCGCG